CGAGUCUGGUCCUCUUCAUCCUUCUCCAAGUUAUCUUGUUGGGUUAGUGACAGCCUCCGGCCUUUCUUGAGCCAAGAGUUUGGGUGGAGGCCUAUACAGCCUUUUAAGGUCCCCCAAGUGUGUGGUUCUUUAGGUGGGGAGCCUUUUGCACAAGUCCCCAGGUCUGGAUGUCCGCCGGAGGUCAGAGCAGAGCUUAUGGUGGAGGGUGCUGAGGGUAAAGAAGAGGGAACAGAUGCAGAGGAGGGGUUGUAGGGCAGAUUUGUCUUGGUUGGGUACUGCCCCCGUCUCGUUGCCCAGGUGUGACCAGUGCUGAGGGACUGCAGGGAGUCGAGAGAGUCCAGGGAGGAGCGGGUUGGUGCAGGGGAGGUGGGAUUAGAGGAGAGGCUGGAGGAGCUCGCUUCCAGAGCUGGUGACCUCAAACCAUGCAGGUUUAACGUGGUCUGACCUCGGAAGUGUGCGUUAGCGAGUGUGUGGCAGUUGGAAAGGUCUUCUUCACAGUCUUCUUCUUCACCGUCUUCAUCCUCACCUGUUAGACCGUCGGUGCUCCCUGAAACGCAUGGCCGAAACUUGGCCAUGUAUGCUAUAGCCGGCUCUGAACGCCGCCGCCGUCUGUGCCGACCAUCCAGGGACAGCGAGUCCAGGUUGGGUGAGGUGUCCGCUGCCAACGCAUCUUUGCUAGGGCUGGUGAGUUCUGGGUCUUGUCUCCUGCCUCUGGUUCUCCCCAGCGGGUGCAACUUUAGACCCUGCAGACUCUCAUCUUGGGUCUGGUGUGCAUCUGGGUCUGUGUCCUGGUCGUAGUCGCUGAAUGUGAGGAUGGAGUCCAGGCUGCCUUGUAGUGGUUUGGGUCUAAGGGGCCUUCUGCUGCAGUAGCCUGGUGACCCACCGCUGCUGUUGUCUAACUCGUUCUCUAGGCUGUCGUAGGAUGAGUCAGUCAGAGGGUACUGCCAGGACUCUGUUGGUCCGGGGUAAGGACGAAGAGUUGACGCACAAGGAAAGAGGAGGAUGACAGACACAAACUGUUUUUACAGAAUGUUGCAAAUGGGGAAACAAAAUUUGCAACUGAAAGCCACAAAAUACUUGAUGCAGAAUGUUCUUGUGGAGAUUUCAGUGACAUUAAUAUACACCUUUUAAUGAAACCAUGAAUAAAAAUCACAUUUUCCACGUUCUAAUCCUGCUGUGAAAAUAUUUCUUGUUAUAUGCCAAACAUACGUCCAAAUAAAUUUCGACAUCAAAAUGCCUCUUUUCUCUUCCUGUUAAAAUAUUUGAUAACUCAUCUCAACUUGGGGCGACUAGCCAUUAGCUCAUGGGUCACAAUAGCAUAACAGGUAGGAACAUCAUGGGUCAGAGGUGUGUGUUUGGAUCAUUUAGUUUCAAAAGAUUUACACAGCUCAACUACAGUACAUGUGUCCAUAUUGGUUAAAGGACUAUUCUAAAUGUAUGCGGGAAGUAAAGACCUGUAACUGUCUUGACUUGAACACACAGUUUGUCAUGUUUCAGUUCUGUACCUGAUCCGAACUCAUCAGUGUUGGGUCUUUGUGGCGGCCCUCCAAACAGGGCGGAGGGAUCCUCUCCCAGAAUCUGCUGACAGUGUUCGAUCAUAAACUUCACCAGCUCACAAACCUGCAGCAGAGAAGAGGAAGAGCGUUAAUAGUAGUUUUAGCAUUUGUCAGAGUUCAAACAUUUCAAGGCUGCGUGGAAGCACUUUGACACUCUUAUCUCCUGCCUGCAUCAUUUCUGAGCAGUUUCAAGGGCUACCAGGCGCUCCAGGAGGCCAAAGCAUGCUGGGAGCGAUGCACACCGAUAAAUUGAAACUCGUCAUCUGGUUCUCGUGGGCGUUGCCCUGGAUACCGAGCAGCAUGGCCAACAGCACAUCCAUCCACUCUUCAUGCAGCUCACAACACAACAAGCUGCCUGGGAUGCUGCGCAAGAACUCCUGCAAGCAUGCACACAUCAGGAAACCUCACCAGUGUUUUCUUAAGAAGGAAGUUUAAACUCUCCGGAGUCCAGAGAGUCCCGCAGCUCUCUGACAGACCGAGCCCCCGCUGGCCGACGGAAGAUGCCCCGCGUCCACGAACCCUCAUGGUACAGAAACGCCAGCAUGUCCUGGUGAGGGAGAGUACGUGAAAUAAGGGAAACUAAUGUCAGUGAAGCUUGUUGUUGAUAAAAAUAUUACAAUGAAAAACAUUGGGAAAGAAGCGGAAAUGUUCUCAGUUGCUAAAGGGGCGUGUAGGUGUCUGCUGAGCCCCGGCGGGGAAACAAGAGACAAAGUAAAGAGACUGUAGUGAACAAGCUUUGGACCGUCUGUUUGCAGUGGUGCUGAAGAGUAAGGUAUACACUAGCAUCUAAAAAGGACCAUAGUGACAUUUACAGAUUAAUCAUCUUCUUCAUCUCAUUAUAAAACCCUCUAAUAAAAUGACAAAUUUACCUUUAAA